rnacentral:lncRNA from 1 species
GUUGGAGCUUCCCGGCUGCUUUGUUUACCUAAUCAAGCCCGGGCAAUGGCGGGCGCCCCUCCCGCAGCCUCGCUGCCGCCUUGCAGUUGGAUCUCAGACUGCUGUGCUAGCAAUCAGCGAGACUCCGUGGGCGUAGGACCCUCCGAGCCAGGUGUGGGAUAUAAUCUCGUGGUGCGCCGUUUUUUAAGCGGGUCUGAAAAACGCAAUAUUCGGGUGGGAGUGACUCGAUUUUCCAGGUGCGUCCGUCACCCCUUUCUUUGACUCAGAAAGGGAACUCCCUGACCCCUUGCGCUUCCCAAGUGAGGCAAUGCCUCGCCCUGCUUCGGCUCGCGCACCCACUGACCUGCGCCCACUGUCUGGCACUCCCUAGUGAGAUGAACCCGGUACCUCAGAUGGAAAUGCAGAAAUCACCCGUCUUCUGCGUCGCUCACGCUGGGAGCUGUAGACCGGAGCUGUUCCUAUUCGGCCAUCUUGGCUCCUCCGCCUCAGAGGUAUUAUCGCUUCAGUUCCAGAUCACCACACCAGGUGCAAGUUGAUAAAAGAAUUCUGGAAAUUGAAGGCCAAGGAAGAGUGACUCAAAAAUAAGAAGCAGGCUGAAAAAUGAGAUGAGGAGACCGAGGCUCGGAGAGGCUUAUGCAUUUGCCCAAGACUCUACAACUCCACAACUUAACAGGCAAUUGCAUCUAGCAUAUAAUGUGUUGGUUAUCCCCAGAACACAGAGCAGUGCAUCUCCACAGCGAGAAUUCCAGAACAGGGUAAUCAUCAAGAAUCAAAUGGCUUGGAUCUGGUCUCUUCUCUUUGAGGAAGCAAGCAGGCAUGGAGGUGAGUCAGGCCAUUGGAAGAUUUCCUGUGGCUGAUGAAGAAUCCAACUCCAGGUUGCUCUUCUUUGAAGAGGAUUCCAGAAAUGCUUAGGGGCUGCUUGUUUGGACUGUAGGAGCUUAGCUGAGCACCAAGCACCAGCAGGAAUCAGAGAAUGGUGGCUUCCAUCCUCUGCGCACAGCAGCAAGGAAGGCAUGUUGUGUGCUUCCAGCUCAAGCCGGCUCUGUGUUUUAGGCCAACCAACACAAUUCAUAUAACAUCCUUGCACAUUUCCACCAUUUCCCGCCUCACCAUGCCUCAGAGGACUACAGGCUCCCCAAGACGGGACAUGGUUGGGCAGGUACCGGAUAGAUGCUGUCACUGCUGAAAAAGAAAAAAAUAUCCAAAGUAUUCACGUUGUACCUGCUGAGUGCCAGUACUGCAUGCUCUGGGGAUUCCAUUCCUGCCCCUAUGGAAGAGGGGUCAACUUUUCCAAAACAUCAUCUUCUAGAGGAAGAAGCUGAAGCCCAGCAAGGAAAAGUAACAUAACGAAGAUCUCAGCAGAAUGACGGUUAUCUGAGCAUCUAUAUUCUGGGGUUGCAAAAAGAACAAGAACGUAGGGUUCAAUGGACCUGAGUUCCAGGCCUCACUCUGUCACCAGCUGACUGUAAGAAGCCCACCCACCUCCACCUUCUCUAGAUCACAUGUUUUAUGGCCGCCUCAAAGGCGUGAAGCAGGUGAGUCGUGCUGCCUCUGCCAACAUCUGCUUUGUGAGCCUGGGAGUAUUUCACGGAGAUGUUUCUCUCGACAGGUUUAUGGCUGGUCUUGGCUCAGUGCCUUGAAAACACUGAUCAUGUGAUGAAACGAGAAUGUCAUGCUGCGGGCCAUCAAUAAACCACACUGGCAUUCCCGCUCCCACCCCGACACCACUCCACCCAUGCAAUUUCCCUCCCCUUCAGCCUCCUCCCUCCCCACCUCCCAAAGAUAUCCAGACCAGGCCAACUCAUUAGGAAGUGACAUCCACCAGGAUUCUUGGCCCCAGUCAAAAGAGUGGCCAGAGCUUGUCUGCUGCUUGCGGAUACUUUUCUGUUUUGUGUUAAACGUUUGAGUUUGGAAAUGAGCAAGAGCUAUGUCUAAGGGAAACCAGACAGCUUGUUUGAAAAUCCACUAAAUGGCCAUCGGAGGAUCAUGCCAGAUCUUAGAACAAAGUCUCAGUUAUUGCCUGAAAGCAUAAACUUUCAGGCAAGGCAUCUUCUCCAUGCUCCUCAGCAUCUGCAGAGUAGCAGAGACUUGAAAGAGAUGUGUCCUCUGGAUCCCACGUCAGAUGAUACAUCUUGGGAUUUCCCUACCUGGGGGAAGAGUGGGUUUUCCUGAGGAAAUUGCAAGUGGGCCUGAGUUUCUAGAGUGUGAGGUGAAAUGGAUGCCACUGUACUGAAUUCUGACCAAAACUCUGGAGAGAUGCUGCGAAGGAACUCAGCUUCCACUGAAAGGGUCAGUGAAGGCUUCAAGGACAGUAUCACAGCACUUUCCUAUCACUUCUAUAAAAAUCACAUCCACUUUUUCCCACCAACUUGCCCAUUCUCCUUGUCUGGGACACAGGCCCUGGUACUUUACAUUCAGGUCAUUUCCAAGGGAUAGAGAGAAAUAGACAGAGGCUGAAAGAGUGAUGGGGCCGGGAGACGCUGAGAUCAUUCAACUACCAAUGCCAUUCUGAACUAAGACUUUUUUUUUUUUUUUUUUUUUUUUUUUUUUUGAGAUGGAGUCUCGCUCUGUCACCCAGGCUGGAGUGCAGUGGCAUGAUCUUGGCUCACUGCAAGCUCUCCCUCCUGGGUUCACACCAUUCUCCUGCCUCAGCCUCCCAAGUAGCUGGGACUACAGGCACCUGCCACCAAAGACUUUCUUAAACCACACUCUCUCCCUGCCAAGAAAAUGGGUAUCAUGUCCUUCAUAACCCAUCCUGAAAAAAUGAAACCGACAUGAUGGCAGAGUGGUAUGAAAAAGACUCUGAAUUUGGAAUUGAGGGACAAGAGCUCAACUGCCAACUCUCUUUAUUCCCCCUGGGACAUUGGGCAACUUAAUCUACUUCUCAGUGAGUUGAUCUGUCACUUGGGUCUAAUAAUACAACUUCUUACGACUACUUUUUAAAGCAAAUAAAAAGAUAUAUUUGAGAGAAUGCUUUAUUAAUUGCAAAACACUGCCCAAAUUUCAGUCAUUAUUAUUUCCUGUCUGUCUAUUUUCCAUCUAUCUGCAUCCUGUUGACGUAACAAGGUAGCUAUCUUCCAUAUGGUCUGUCUCCCAUUUAGAUUGUAAGCCUUUUGAAGGAGGGCUGGUAUUUACUUUUGCAUAAUUGGUACUCAAUAAAAGUUUUUGAAUGAA